UGUGUGCCGGUUUAAAAAGUGUCGAUCGGGUUGCUUCAAUCAAUACAAUGUAUAAUUUCUUUUCAAAGACGAAAAAGUCGUGUUAGCAAGACAGCUCGGUAUUGUGUGUUGUUGUAUCCACAUACAUGUGGACAUAGCGUACCUUGGCACUCUCCCUCUAUGAAGUAAGGUCGUUCCGAUCAAUGCACACUUUGAUCAAAAACAAAAACUUUCAUCAUUAUCAAUUGUCUCCAGUAUUAUCAACAUUGGAAAAUUUAAAGCGGUGGAUGGCUUUACAUUGAGACAUGCACCCCAAGGAGCAUAGGCGAUGGUGACGACGAUGAUGACUGCCUAACCGGAAUUGUGAUCUAAUCUUUGACAGGCACAGAGGCGCAAACAGCUUUAACUUC